GUGAUCAGUAACCCAGAGCCUUAACCACUGGACUACCACUGCCCUGCUCCCACCACUACCAGUAGUAGUAGUAGUAGUAGUAGCGUUAAUCUUGUACUAUACUUUUCAACACACAAGAAAUAUAGCAUGACUAUUGUAGGAAUGGCCCAUGAUUGUUAUUAAUAUUAACAAGCAUUAUUCUUAUUUCUAUUAAUGUGGUACUAUUUGCAUUAGCAGUAGUAGCAAUAGUAGUAGUCGUAUUAGUAGUAGAAUUAGUAGAAGUAGUAGAAGUAGUAGUAGUAGUAGUCAGUUAUCCAUACAUCUCUCACAUAGGUCAGGAGAUUAUGGUAAUAUUUGCAUCAAGCAUCAGAAUGAGUGAGCAUUGUGUGUACCUACAUGGGCUGUAGAACAUUGAGUAAAUAUAUGUAUAUUAUUUAUCCAAUUCAAUAGAACGAAGUUUCAGAGACAGAUGAUGCUUCAGAUACACAGUCACUUCUACAGCACAAAUAUUUUGAUGGCACCUUAAAAAAAGGGAGAAAUGUUCCUUUAUUGAGAAAACAUAUAUGCAGAUGCAAAUAUGAGUGCAGGAACAGGAACUCACAAAUCAUUCGUGAACAUCAUUCCACCACAGCAGGAGCUGACAAGCUGAGCAAACCCAGUGCUCAAUCUGCACUAGUGUCCAGAAGUAUAUGGACAGGGCCACAUACUUUGUCUGUGAGUGUGUGCAUCUUUUACCUAUGCUGCAAAAUAUGCAGUAAGGUCUCUAUGUAUUUGGACAGUGUCACGCUGACUUGUACAAACUGUCAAUAAAACUAUUAUUCUAGAACUUAGCGCAUCACGACACAUUUUUCUUGGUAACUGCUCCACUGUCACAAAGAGUGUGUAUGCUCACUGAGUGCUCACCUGAAUAGGAAAUGUAUAUGCUAUAUAUCUCUGCUUAUAUUUCCUAAUACCGUACCAUGUAGUGUAGACAGGCAUCAUUGAUAAAGUGAACAAUUCCUUUGACUUGACUUGACUUGACUUCGGUAAUCAACAAAAGGUAGAGAGGAAUGUGCACUUUCUAGAUUUGGUCACACAAUAGCAGUCAAGACCGAUGCAGAACUACACACCAUGCUGCCUUAAGCAAUCAUUAUUAUUAUUUAUGGUAUUCAUCAAACCCUAUUCUUAACUCAUUCCUCAACUUACUAAGAAUAAUUAUUAGGAUCAUGGUUGUUAGUAGUAGUAGUAGUAGUAGUAGUAGAUGUAGUAGAAGAAUUAGGUCUGAGAUGAGAUCAGAACAAACAAACAAACAAACAACAUACACGAAUAACACUUUAAAAAAUUGACCAUAAACACUUCAUACUAGUGUUUAAGGGUAUACAGUAUACAAUCAAACAAAGAAACAAACAACAUACACAAACAAAACUUAAAAAACAAAACAAACAAAAAAACCCCAAUAAAAUUAAAAAAAAAAAAAAAAAAAGACCAAAAACACUUCAUAUUAGUGUUUAAGAGUAUACAGGGAUAUUCCUAAUAAAGGCAGAGGUCGGUGGACGUUGUAGAGCUUGACUGCCAUCGUGUGGCAAUGUUUCCAUGUGGCAGAAAAAUGUAGAUUAAAGGAAUUGAUGCUCACAUCAUUUUGUGUGAUUAUUGUGUAUGGAACAGACAUUUACUCUAGGGUUUCGCAUUAAUAGUUUGAGAUGAGAUCAGAACAAACAAACAAACAAACAAACAAACAAACAAACAAACAACAUACACGAAUACAGCCUUAAAGAAAUAGACCAAAAACACUUCAUACUAGUGUUUAAGAUUUCUAGAUUUGGUCACACAAUAGCAGUCAAGAUCAAUGCAGAACUACACACCAUGCUGCCUUAAGCAAUCAUUAUUAUUAUUUAUGGUAUUCAUCAAACCCUAUUCUUAACUCAUUCCUCAACUUACUAAGAAUAAUUAUUAGGAUCAUGGUUGUUAGUAGUAGUAGUAGUAGUAGUAGUAGUAGUAGAUGUAGUAGAAGAAUUAGGUCUGAGAUGAGAUCAGAACAAACAAACAAACAACAUACACGAAUAACACUUAAAA